rnacentral:lncRNA from 1 species
ACCGCCUCAGGGAAGAGGAAGGAGGCCGCGGCUUCGCGUCCCGCCUCUCGCCUGGCUGGCCGUGGGGGGCCUGGACGCAGUGGCCUCCCGAAUCUCCCAGGACCCUAAUAUCGCCCGAGGAUGCUGGGAGGAACGCUGAGCCGACCUCUCCGUUAGGCUGAAGAUUGCACAAACCAUGCUAAUGGCCAGCAUGGAUGGAGGGAGCGUGUGAGAUGUGUGGGGCAGCGUGCUGCAUCUCAGCCAACUCCAGGAGCCAGUUGAUGUGAUGGACUACCUUAAUUGAUUUUUGAAUGUUGAGCCAGCCUUAUGCAUGUGGGAUAAACCCCUGUUGAUCAUGGCUGGCUGGAGUGCAGUGGUGCAAUCAUGGCUCACUGCAACCUCAAAUUCCUGGGCUCAAGGGAUCCUCCUGCCUCAGCCUCCCAAGUAGCUAGGACUACAGAUGGAACGAAGUCUGUUUGUGGAAACACCCUUCCCCUCUGUUUACUUGGACCUGAUUUUGAAAGUAACAAGUCACUUUAUUUGGGCUGGAGGAAAAAGCACUAAACCAGAUGUUGAGGUGACCGGG